rnacentral:rRNA from 1 species
GAUGAACGCUGGCGGCGCGCCUAACACAUGCAAGUCGAACGGUUAAAGCACCUUUUAGGUGUGUAUAAAGUGGCGAACGGCUGAGUAGCACGUGGGCAACCUGCCCUCCUCUUGGGGAUAGCCUCGGGAAACCGAGGAUAAUACCCGAUACUUCAAUGUGGCCGCAUGACGACAUUGAGAAAGCUUUUGCGGAGAAGGAUGGGCCCGCGGCCUGUUAGCUUGUUGGUGGGGUAGAGGCCUACCAAGGCAAUGAUGGGUAGCUGGGUUGAGAGACCGACCAGCCAGAUUGGGACUGAGACACGGCCCAGACUCCUACGGGAGGCAGCAGUGGGGAAUCUUGCACAAUGGGCGAAAGCCUGAUGCAGCGACGCCGCGUGCGGGACGAAGGCCUUCGGGUUGUAAACCGCUUUCAGCAGGGACGAGGCGAUAAGUGACGGUACCUGCAGAAGAAGCCCCGGCUAACUACGUG